rnacentral:rRNA from 1 species
GAUGAACGCUGACAGAAUGCUUAACACAUGCAAGUCGAUGGGGAAGUGGUGCUUGCACCCUGGCAACCAUGGCGGACGGGUGAGUAACGCGUAAGGGACUUACCUGCAGGACUGGGAUAACAGGGGGAAACUCCUGACAAGACCGGAUAAUGUCAUGGAGCUGCAUGGCUUUAUGAUGAAAGGAGACGCCUGCGGAGAGCCUUGCGUCCUAUUAGCUAGUUGGUGAGGUAAUGGCUCACCAAGGCGAAGAUAGGUAGCCGGCCUGGGAGGGUGGACGGCCACAAGGGGACUGAGAUACGGCCCUUACUCCUACGGGAGGCAGCAGUGGGGAAUAUUGGACAAUGGGGGCAACCCUGAUCCAGCAAUUCUGUGUGCACGAAGAAGGUUUUCGGAUUGUAAAGUGCUUUCAGCAGGGAAGAAGUAAGUGACGGUACCUGCAGAAGAAGCGACGGCUAAAUACGUG